CCACUGUGGUGGAAUGUCUACGGGAAACUGAUGCCUCCCUCAGCCGGAGAGCCCUGGAACUAAGCCUGGCUCUGGUAAAUAGCUCCAAUGUGCGAGCCAUGAUGCAAGAGCUGCAGGCCUUUCUGGAGUCCUGCCCUCCUGACCUACGGGCUGACUGUGCCUCAGGCAUCCUGCUGGCUGCAGAGAGGUGAGGUGCCCAGGAGUCGAAGAGGGUAGAAUCUGGGGAGCGUCAGUACCAGGACUGAUGAGCCAUAUAUCCCCUAGGUUUGCUCCAACCAAACGCUGGCACAUAGACACCAUCCUGCAUGUGCUGACAACGGCGGGCACCCAUGUGCGGGAUGAUGCAGUG
rnacentral:ncRNA from 2 species